UACAGAGGGAGCAAGCGUUAUUCGGAAUUAUUGGGCGUAAAAAGCGCGUAGGCGACUUUGCAAGUGACAGGUGAAAUCCCUCGGCUUAACCGAGGAACUGCCUGUCAAACUGCAUGGCUUGAGACCAGGAGAGAUGAGUGGAAUUCCCAGUGUAGCGGUGAAAUGCGUAGAUAUUGGGAGGAGCACCAGUGGCGAAGACGGCUCACUGGACCGGUACUGACGCUGAUGCGCGAAAGCGUGGGGAGCAAACAGG
rnacentral:rRNA from 1 species